rnacentral:lncRNA from 1 species
CUAACUUUGCAAAAGCGUAAGCUUUAGUGAAACUGUAGCUUGAAUACCUUUGUGACUUAUACCCUUUUAUGCAAUAUUCGAGAAAGCACAAUAUAUAAACUACAUUUGGCAAAGUAUAUAAAAUUCUAUUGUUUUUAAUGUAAAACCCUCAACCACUGAAAUGAAACACAUCAUUCAAUAAAGAUAUACAAUUGUUAAGUGCACAACAAUUCUUACAGCUGAUUGCAUUGAGUGUGUAGGUAAAGGUAAUAUCUUUGGUUAGCUUGCUUGCUAGCUGAACUGUGAAAUCAUUAUUAAGUAAGGUAUACUACCCUCCUUUCAAAGUUACCUAGUGCUAAAGACAGAUAGAUUGGUUAUCUGUCGGACUAGUCUACUAUUAAAGAAGGGUAGUUUACCUUACAGAAUAAUGACUUCAUGGUUAAGCUAGCAAGAAAGCUAACCAAAGAUAUUACCUUUACCUGCACACUCAAUACAAUCCGCUGUAAAUCAUUUAUUUUUUUACUCCCACUAUGUGUUCCUCAUCAAACUAAAUCUGUGUCAAUAGCAUUUCUUUAUAAUUGAUACUGACAACUCUAUACCAAUAGGAUAUACUUAUAUCUACUUUUAUGCAUAAUACAUAAAUAAGCUAAGCAUUCUCUACAUAGUAGAGUUAACUAAAAUAUAAUACAUCUUUUAACUUUGUAAUGAUUGUACAUACAGAUGUAUAAAUGAAUUGUGCUUUUACAAUAGGAAAUCAUUCAUCAUUUCAUGUGUUAACCAAUUCGCCGUUUCAGAAUCUAAUGCAUUCUGGGUAAUAUUUUCAAAAGUGUACACCAAAAUGUUGUGAUUGGUUGAAAACAUCCAAAACAAUUGAAAUUCAACCAAUGUUGUGACGUUAUUUUCAUUUUGGGGUUUGAACAAUGAAAUUACCUAUAAUCCUUAAGAUUCUGAAACAGCCAAUUCCUAUUCAACAGUUAAGGUUUAAUUUUACCAAAAACCUAUAAAAAAGGUAUUGAAAUCAAUGCUGUUUAGUGAAAGCAGCUUGUUUCGUGUGAAUUCACAUUCAAUAUACCUAAAUUCUGUGUAAAGUUUUUAACUACAAUACCAUAAUUGUUUUUUAAAUAGCUCAUAAUAAGAUUCCGAUAGAAUUGACGAUCAGCCUUAGAAAACUCAUGAAUGAUUUUUUUGUGCUAAAUGUAAACACUGGCCUUUAAAAAAUGGCAUAUCUUUUUUUUCAAUUUAAAUGCACAUAAAACAAUAAGAAUAAAGAAAAUGAAGAUUUCUGAAAACUGUCAGACAGUUUCAAUACCUGCCACCAAAAUGUAAAUGACCGAAAGAAAAUUUGUCUGAAUUACAAAGUUGGGGCAAGGUUUGAUAAUUUCUGUCUGACACCUUACUUUAUAGACUUUUUUUAUGACAUUGUGCAUAUACAGGUGAUAAACAUACACUACAAAAUUUACGAUAAAUAAAGUGUUUUAAACAAUAUUCAUACACUAGGUCAGUUUAUUCAAUUGUGUUCCAUUUAGAUUUUUUUUUCUUCUUAAAAUCCAUAAAUGAGUUGUGUUAAUUAAUAAAACAAACUAAUACUACAUUCAUGAAUGAAAUUAUCUUCAAUAUUACAAUACUAAAACAUUUCAAAUUAAAGCACACGUAGAGUGAAAUAAAAUGAGUGUGAACUUAAUGCACAUAAUUCAUGAGGUGAUAUAUAACUUAUGAAUGAAAGACUACUUGACCAAUGAAAAUCCAUUAUAAUGUUACAAAACUAUUUGCAUAAAUCUCAAUAUCAAUACUGCACAAAGAAUGAAUUGGACUGUAUUGAGUUUUUUGAUAACUUUGAACUGUAAUUAAAUAGAAACACUGAAAUAAGAAAAUUUAACUAAUGUGAUGUCAUGCUUGCUUAAUUUGACUUAAUAAAUCUGUAUGAAAUCUAUCUUAUUCUUUGAGCCUAUUAAAUUUGUACUUUGACUGUUUCCAAACAACAAUCUAGCAUUUCACUGGUAUAUCCAUUUCCUAACAAGCUAACAAUGACAUCCACAUUUUGCAACCAUCAACUUUUGCAAUGGUAAUAACAAAACGGUAGCAAGAAUUUAACUUUCCUAUAGUCAAUUCACCUAAGCCAUACUUUAGCAAGUUACUCCCAAUUUUUCUCAAAAUCAAACAUAGAUGGACACCAUCUCUUUAUGU